GAUGAUUUUUAAUUUUUCUUAGCAUAGAGGGAGAUACUUCCGAAGCACGAGCAGACUUAGCAACGUUUCAAAACUGAAGGGUUGCACUGGGUUCCUGUGUCUGAAGUUCUUCCUGCGGCUACAACCAAGCUACAGCUAAGGAGUAACAUAUUUCACGGGUUCCAGGAGACAAAAAGGUAUGUGCCCCA